rnacentral:rRNA from 1 species
GAGGAAUAUUGGUCAAUGGACGGAAGUCUGAACCAGCCAAGUAGCGUGCAGGAUGACGGCCCUAUGGGUUGUAAACUGCUUUUGUAUGGGGAUAAAGUUAGGGACGUGUCCCUAUUUGCAGGUACCAUACGGAUAAGGACCGGCUAAUUCCGUGCCAGCAGCCGCGGUAAUACGGAAGGUCCAGGCGUUAUCCGGAUUUAUUGGGUUUAAAGGGAGCGUAGGCUGGAGAUUAAGUGUGUUGUGAAAUGUAGACGCUCAACGUCUGAAUUGCAGCGCAUACUGGUUUCCUUGAGUACGCACAACGUUGGCGGAAUUCGUCGUGUAGCGGUGAAAUGCUUAGAUAUGACGAAGAACUCCGAUUGCGAAGGCAGCUGACGGGAGCGCAACUGACGCUUAAGCUCGAAGGUGCGGGUAUCAAACAGGAUUAGAUACCCUGGUAGUCCGCACAGUAAACGAUGGAUGCCCGCUGUUGGUACCUGGUAUCAGCGGCUAAGCGAAAGCAUUAAGCAUCCCACCUGGGGAGUACGCCGGCAACGGUG